rnacentral:rRNA from 1 species
GAUGAACGCUGGCGGCGUGCCUAAUACAUGCAAGUCGAGCGAACAGACGAGGAGCUUGCUCCUCUGACGUUAGCGGCGGACGGGUGAGUAACACGUGGAUAACCUACCUAUAAGACUGGGAUAACUUCGGGAAACCGGAGCUAAUACCGGAUAAUAUAUUGAACCGCAUGGUUCAAUAGUGAAAGACGGUUUUGCUGUCACUUAUAGAUGGAUCCGCGCCGCAUUAGCUAGUUGGUAAGGUAACGGCUUACCAAGGCAACGAUGCGUAGCCGACCUGAGAUGGUGAUCGGCCACACUGGAACUGAGACACGGUCCAGACUCCUAAGGGAGGCAGCAGUAGGGAAUCUUCCGCAAUGGGCGAAAGCUUGACGGAGCAACGCCGCGUGAGUGAUGAAGGUCUUCGGAUCGUAAAACUCUGUUAUUAGGGAAGAACAAAUGUGUAAGUAACUAUGCACGUCUUGACGGUACCUAAUCAGAAAGCCACGGCUAACUACGUG